GGUGAUUCCAUAAACCAAAGUAUCUGUUUUUAAAAUGGUGAUAAUAGGUCCUCUUGUUAUUGUGAGAAUGAGAAUGUGCAGUGUCUAGUGGAGGGAGGCACUUAAUACAUGUUGAUGGGAUUGUUCUUUUCUUAUUUUCCUCCAGCUGGUCCCUAAGAUAAUGUUUAAAGCUUAGCUUUUGCCUCCACUUGUCCUGAACUGUCUAGUGUGAUAUAGAUAAUAAAAAACAGAUACUGAGAUGUUUUUAAAUGUCAAGUUAAAACAAGUUAAUAAUUGCUCUCCCAUAAUAAGAGAGCCAACUGUAGUCCAGGAUCAAAAGCAUUUUUUUUUCUAUUUUGGAGCUGCCAAAAUUCUCUUCAGGGUGCAUGUGAGGCAAAUGUAAGGAUGCACUGAGAAUCUGAAUGGCAUCAUUGUCACAGCCCAUGCUAGACCCUGGCUGGGGGUAUCUAUUCAGUUUGAUGAGGACGUGAUUUAAUACAGUUUUGUCUGAAAAAAAAAAGGAAGGGCUGAGAAACCAAGAGGAUGAGCCAGGCAAUCUGCUUAAAUAUCAAAACAUGUUAUAGUCUGUGGAUAGUCCUCCAACACCAGGGAGGCUGUAAGGGAUGUGGCUAGUGCUAGAAGUCCCAGUCAUCAUCCCUUACACGUGUAUAGCUCUUUCUCUGCUGUUUGCAAAAGGCUGCCACAGACAUGAGUUCACAUUGUCCUGCUAUGGAGACAGAGUGGUGCUUGUCCACACAGAGCACCCAGAGCCAAAAAACCUCACAUUUCCCCCAUCUCCCAUUUUGAGAGCAUUUAGAGGGAAUGACAUUGGCUUUGUGGGUAGGGAAGAACACUGUGCUCUCAGGAAGCAGCUCAUCAGUGGCCACUGGGAUUCAGUGAUACCACCUUCAGCAAGACCUCUAACGAGGGUAUAAGCCACAGAUGCUUUCAGGAAAACAAAGUGUGGCCAAGCUCAUGCCUCAACCCCAAACCCCUGGGUGCAGCCCUUUCCAUCAAGACCCCACUAAUGGGGAGGCUGUUGUGCCUGUACUCUGUGGGCACAGGGUUGGCCUCUCCUCUGCCUGCCCAGGAGGAAUGGUUGUUCCUCACCCAGGUGGGCAGUAGGAGACUUGUGGUUUGAGCCACAGAUGUCUGAAAGGGAUCUCUGGUCUGCGGAUCUGGUUGGACAGAACAGCCCUGAGUACAUGGAUAUAUCUGAGAGCUUGGAGCCUGAUGCUCAAUGUUCUCGUUAUGGAAAGGAAAAAGUGCUGUUUGUCAGCUUUUGCUUCUUUUUCCUAUGGCUAGGAAAUGCUGGCUGGGGGGAGGAUUCUUCAGAAGGCCCAUCAGUUCUGUGGGGCAGGAAGCACUUCAGGCUUAGUAGAGCUCAGGAACUAAGACGAGGUGUUUUCUCAAAGGGCAACAUACCCUCUCCUCUGUGGUCUUUUUCAGACUAUCUUGUUGUUUCCUGGUAGAGGAGAAAAGAUACUGAGUACUCCUCUAAGGUGCUCAUAGUUUUUAACCCUCCUGGAAGAUGGAACACAUCCCCAAAGGAACCCAAGAAGAGUGCAGAACCUGGGGAUCUAAUACCCAGAAUCACUGGGCCCUGGGCUGAAUCAGGUGGACAGAGUCCACAUCAGUAGGAUAGAACAGGGAUUCCAGAAAUGUGAAGCUGAAGAGGGAGGAGGUGGAUCAAGUGAGCAAGAGCCAGGCAGAGCAAAAGCCACAGGAAUCAGCAGGUUCCAGAUGAAGAAGAAAGGGGGUUAAGGACUUAUAUUAGAAGUGACAGGGACACGUGGAGUUGGCUCUUCUAUCCCUUAGGUUCAUCAGAGUUAAAAG
rnacentral:lncRNA from 1 species